AGGUACUAUCCAGGUACUAUCAGGUACUAUCUAGGUACUGUCCAGGUACUAUAAAGUGCUAUCCAGGUACUACUAGGUACAAUCAGGCACUAUCCAGG